rnacentral:SRP_RNA from 1 species
GCUGGGCGUGGUGGCGCAUGCCUGUAAUCCCAGCUACUCAGGAGGCUGAGGCAUGAGAAUCGCUUGAACCCAGGAGGUGGAGGUUGCAGUGAGCUGAGAUUAUGGCAUUGCACUCCAGCCUGGGCAACACAGCAAGACCGUGUCUCAA